GUGUAUUAAGGAAAACAUUUUUAGUCAACGUUUAUUCUCAUACAUGGACAACAUGAACAGCCACUGUAUUUAUGUUUUACAGCAGGGCUCACUGAGGUCACACAAAAAACAAUGUGUAAAGGCAACCAGAUGACCUAGUAGUUUGGACUUAUGCACAAAUGCCCCACUAACAUAGCCCCUUUUCUUUAGUGUUCUCUGCACUGCCAAAUAAAGGCAGAAAUACAACCAAAUGAUUA